GCACUGGUGUUUCAGUGGCAGAGUUUUCGUCUUCCAUGUGAGAGACUUGGGUUUGAUUCCCAGCCAAUACA
rnacentral:tRNA from 1 species